rnacentral:rRNA from 1 species
GAUGAACGCUAGCUACAGGCUUAACACAUGCAAGUCGAGGGGCAUCAGGAAGAAAGCUUGCUUUCUUUGCUGGCGACCGGCGCACGGGUGAGUAACACGUAUCCAACCUGCCCUUUACUCGGGGAUAGCCUUUCGAAAGAAAGAUUAAUACCCGAUAGCAUAAUGAUUCCGCAUGGUUUCAUUAUUAAAGGAUUCCGGUAAAGGAUGGGGAUACGUUCCAUUAGGUUGUUGGUGAGGUAACGGCUCACCAAGCCUUCGAUGGAUAGGGGUUCUGAGAGGAAGGUCCCCCACAUUGGAACUGAGACACGGUCCAAACUCCUACGGGAGGCAGCAGUGAGGAAUAUUGGUCAAUGGGCGCUAGCCUGAACCAGCCAAGUAGCGUGAAGGAUGAAGGCUCUAUGGGUCGUAAACUUCUUUUAUAUAAGAAUAAAGUGCAGUAUGUAUACUGUUUUGUAUGUAUUAUAUGAAUAAGGAUCGGCUAACUCCGUGCCAGCAGCCGCGGUAAUACGGAGGAUCCGAGCGUUAUCCGGAUUUAUUGGGUUUAAAGGGAGCGUAGGUGGACUGGUAAGUCAGUUGUGAAAGUUUGCGGCUCAACCGUAAAAUUGCAGUUGAUACUGUCAGUCUUGAGUACAGUAGAGGUGGGCGGAAUUCGUGGUGUAGCGGUGAAAUGCUUAGAUAUCACGAAGAACUCCGAUUGCGAAGGCAGCUCACUGGACUGCAACUGACACUGAUGCUCAAAGGUGUGGGUAUCAAACCAGG